rnacentral:lncRNA from 13 species
UCUUUCACUUUCGUGCACUAUCUCCCUCAGGUUGAAUGAGACAUCUACGUUGGCAGUUUCAGGGACUCCCGCAGGUUGGUAGCCCCCCGGCAGCCGUGCCAGACCUCAACAUCUGACGCCUGGGACAGGGACCUGAGUACGAGAGGUACAGUGACGCAUCCCAAAUCAGAGGAGACAAGGUAAAGCUGCGGUUCUUGAAGUUCUGGACUCAAAAUUAAUCUGGAUUAAAGAUGGAGCAAUGUCUGCCUCCUCACGUAUCUAGGUGCCUGAGUGGCACAUCAAGCAUGUCCCAAAGAAGACAAUCCUCUCCGAGACCAGUGACCAUCCCUCUUCCUCGACUGACAUCUCCCCAUUGGCCGAGACCUCAGAUGACUUCACCGACCUCCCUUCUCCCGAGAAUCCGACGUCUACACCUACAGAGGAUGACAUCCCACCGUGCCCAUCACCCGCGGCACCAGCUGACACCACCCCAAGAAGUUCCAGUCCUGACCUGGACCCAGAUGUAUGCCUAGUGGCUGACGUGUCACACAUUGUUUGUAGGCAAGGACAUUCUCUCAAUCCGGUUACUCUAUUUUUAGCCAUAUUAGCCAUUGUGUCUGUGAUAGCUUCUACAGCUACAGCUGCUGUUAGUCUUUCAAAAUUUAUUAAUACUGCUGUAUAUGUGAAUCAUUUGGCAAAAAAUGUCUCUAUUGCUAUCGGAUCUCAUAUGUCUCUUGAUGAUUAAUUAGAAGCUAAACUGAACGCUUUGGGACAAAAUGUUACUAUUCUUGGUGAUAAACUUUAUAAUAUUCAAAACCACCUGGCCCUUCCUUGCCAUGCUGAUUAUAAAUAUAUUUGUGUUUGUAAUACUCCUUAUAAUCACACCAAAUGACAGUGGCCUCUUGUUAAGGCCCAUUUACAAGGAAUUUGGACUCAUGACAAUUUAUCUCUAGAUGUUUUCAAGCUUCAGCAGAAAAUUCAUGCCAUUGAUUUUUCUCGUCAAAACCUGCCUGAAGAUGACACAAUCGCCCAUCAUAUUGUGGACACCUUGUCUUCCUGGGUACGUGGAGUUCAUCUCCCGUCCUUUUCCUCUUUAAUGGGUAUUGGAGUGGUUAUACUCCUUCUUAUACUCUUUCUCCCGGUACUCUUUUGCCUUGUGUUCUCCUCCCUUCAACAAUUGCAGCUCAAGCUUUUUGAGUUGCAUCUAAAAACAAAAGGAGAAACUGAGGGAAUCUGUGGGGAUUGCUCCCAUGUGAGGCCCCUAGGAAAUGGGCCUCGCCAUAUGGUGAGCUUGAGCCCGGACACAGAUCCCUGGUUGGGGGAGUCGAGCUGAGGGAAAGCAGGAACCAAAAGAGGGACUAUGUUAUUCAAAAUAAUUAACAGAUGUUACUUUAUGGAUAUGAGGACAUGGGAAGCAUUGUGUCCACUUUUGGCUUCUUAUGGUUUAUUGCUUGAUUGUGUUCAUUUUGGACCCUUGUUACCUUCAUUGUAAAAUAUUAACUUAAGUAUUUACACUUGGUAACUUACUUACUAUAACUUACUGGGUGUAACUGUAACUUACCAUAGCUUACAGGGCAUAACUGUAACGUAUUCACCAUAGCUUACAUGGUGUAACUGUAACUUACUUACCAUAGCUUAUAGGGCAUAACUGUAACUUGCUUACAAUUGUUAAGUACUUACUGGGCGUACCUUACUUGCUGGGUGUAACUGACUUACUGGGCUUAACUCACUUACUGGGCAUAACUAAGUGGCUGUAACUUGCUUACUGUAACUUAAGUAUGUUGAUCUGGCAUAAACAACUUUAACUUCAGAAAAGCAUAUAAUAAAACAGAUUGCAAAAAUAAAAUUGCUGCUUGA